rnacentral:rRNA from 1 species
UACAGAGGGUGCAAGCGUUAAUCGGAAUUACUGGGCGUAAAGCGUGCGUAGACGGUUAUUUAAGUCAGGUGUGAAAGCCCAGGGCUCAACCUUGGAAUUGCAUUUGAGACUGAAUAGCUAGGGUGCGGAAGAGGGAAGCGGAAUUUCCGGUGUAGCGGUGAAAUGCGUAGAUAUCGGAAGGAACACCAGUGGCGAAAGCGGCUUCCUGGUCCAGCACCGACGUUCAGGCACGAAAGCGUGGGGAGCAAACAGGG